rnacentral:rRNA from 1 species
AUUGAACGCUGGCGGCAGGCCUAACACAUGCAAGUCGAACGAGUGGCGGACGGGUGAGUAAUGUCUGGGAAACUGCCCGAUGGAGGGGGAUAACUACUGGAAACGGUAGCUAAUACCGCAUACCAUCGGAUGUGCCCAGAUGGGAUUAGCUAGUAGGUGGGGUAACGGCUCACUUAGGCGACGAUCCCUAGCUGGUCUGAGAGGAUGGCCAGCAACACUGGAACGGAGAAACGGUCCAGACUCCUACGGGAGGCAGCAUGGGGGAAUAUUUCACAAUGGGCGCAAUCCUGAUGCAGCCAUGCCGCGUGUAUGAAGAAGUCCUUCGGGUUGUAAAGUACUUUCAGCGAGGAGGCGUGACUCGCAGAAGAAGCACCGGCUAACUCCGUGCCAGCAGCCGCGGUAAUAC